rnacentral:lncRNA from 1 species
GGAAGUUCUGAAUGCUCUGUACUCUAUAGAGGGAGUAUUGAAUGCUCUGUACUCUAUAGAGGGAGUAUUGUGGAGGUUCUGAAUGCUCUGUACUCUAUAGAGGAAGUUCUGAAUGCUCUGUACUCUAUAGAGGAAGUUCUGAAUGCUCUGUACUCUAUAGAGGGAGUAUUGAAUGCUCUGUACUCUAUAGAGGGAGUAUUGAAUGCUCUGUACUCUAUAGAGGGAGUAUUGAGGAAGUUCUGAAUGCUCUGUACUCUAUAGAGGGAGUAUUGAGGAAGUUCUGAAUGCUCUGUACUCUAUAGAGGGAGUAUUGAGGAAGUUCUGAAUGCUCUGUACUCUAUAGAGGGAGUAUUGUGGAAGUUCUGAAUGCUCUGUACUCUAUAGAGGGAGUAUUGAUGAAUGUUCUGAAUGCUCUGUACUCUAUAGAGGGAGUAUUGAGGAAGUUCUGAAUGCUCUGUACUCUAUAGAGGGAGUAUUGUGGAAGUUCUGAAUGCUCUGUACUCUAUAGAGGGAGUAUUGAGGAAGUUCUGAAUGCUCUGUACUCUAUAGAGGGAGUAUUGAAUGCUCUGUACUCUAUAGAGGGAGUAUUGAAUGCUCUGUACUCUAUAGAGGGAGUAUUGUGGAAGUUCUGAAUGCUCUGUACUCUAUAGAGGGAGUAUUGAGGAAGUUCUGAAUGCUCUGUACUCUAUAGAGGGAGUAUUGAAUGCUCUGUACUCUAUAGAGGGAGUAUUGAAUGCUCUGUACUCUAUAGAGGGAGUAUUGAGGAAGUUCUGAAUGCUCUGUACUCUAUAGAGGGAGUAUUGAGGUAGUUCUGAAUGCUCUGUACUCUAUAGAGGGAGUAUUGAAUGCUCUGUACUCUAUAGAGGGAGUAUUGGGGAAGUUCAGCAUUACAUCCUCAUUGAAAUUUAAAGGCAAUGUUUCAGCGUAGGCCGGAGACUGCAUUCACGAUAAACGCUGCUCAACGGGGAAUUCCCAUUUUAAAAUUCCUAGCUCGCAAUCUGUGAGGCUUCAGCGGAUUGAUUAGAGCUCUUUAUUUUCAUACAGUUUAAUCAGCUUGUUGUGUAUCAGCUCUUGCUUUUGACUUUUUAGCCA